rnacentral:tRNA from 1 species
AAGGAUUUAGGUUUAGUAUCAGACCAAGGACCUUCAAAGCCCUAAGCGGAAGUGAAAAUCUUCCAAUCCUUG